rnacentral:piRNA from 1 species
UCUUAGUUCUACCUACCUCUUGC